rnacentral:rRNA from 1 species
AACGAACGCUGGCGGCAUGCCUAACACAUGCAAGUCGAACGAGACCUUCGGGUCUAGUGUCGCACGGGUGCGUAACGCGUGGGAACCUGCCCUUAGGUUCGGAAUAACUCCCCGAAAGGGGUGCUAAUACCGGAUAAUGUCUUCGGACCAAAGAUUUAUCGCCUUUGGAUGGGCCCGCGUUGGAUUAGCUAGUUGGUAGGGUAAAAGCCUACCAAGGCGACGAUCCAUAGCUGGUCUGAGAGGAUGAUCAGCCACACUGGGACUGAGACACGGCCCAGACUCCUACGGGAGGCAGCAGUGGGGAAUAUUGGACAAUGGGCGAAAGCCUGAUCCAGCAAUGCCGCGUGAGUGAUGAAGGCCUUAGGGUUGUAAAGCUCUUUUACCCGGGAUGAUAAUGACAGUACCGGGAGAAUAAGCUCCGGCUAACUCCGU